GGUUGUGGCUCAGCGGUAGAGUGCUUGCCUAGCACGUGCAAGGCCCUGGGUUCGAUCCUUAGCACCA
rnacentral:tRNA from 1 species